UACGUAGGUGGCAAGCGUUGUCCGGAUUUACUGGGCGUAAAGAGCGCGCAGGCGGCUGGUCAAGUCCGAUGUGAAAUCUCCCGGCUUAACUGGGAAAUUGCAUCGGAAACUGAUCGGCUUGAAGGUGGGAGAGGGUAGUGGAAUUCCCGGUGUAGUGGUGAAAUGCGUAGAUAUCGGGAGGAACACCAGUGGCGAAGGCGACUACCUGGCCCAUUCUUGACGCUGAGGCGCGAAAGCUAGGGGAGCGAACGGG
rnacentral:rRNA from 1 species